GGUUUUGUAGUGUAGUUGGUUAUCACUUCGGAUUCUGAUUUCUUCAGUGUCUUCCGGUGACCCCGGUUCGAAUCCGGGCAAGACCU